UACGGGGGGGGCUAGCGUUGCUCGGAAUCACUGGGCGUAAAGGGUGCGUAGGCGGGUCUUUAAGUCAGGGGUGAAAUCCUGGAGCUCAACUCCAGAACUGCCUUUGAUACUGAGGAUCUUGAGUUCGGGAGAGGUGAGUGGAACUGCGAGUGUAGAGGUGAAAUUCGUAGAUAUUCGCAAGAACACCAGUGGCGAAGGCGGCUCACUGGCCCGAUACUGACGCUGAGGCGCGAAAGCGUGGGGAGCAAACAGG
rnacentral:rRNA from 1 species